UACGUAGGGUGCGAGCGUUGCCCGGAUUUAUUGGGCGUAAAGGGCGCGUAGGCGGCUACGCACGUCCGUUGUGAAAUCGCUCGGCUCAACUGGGCGGGGUCAGCGGAUACGGCGUAGCUGGAGCAAGCUAGGGGGCAAUGGAAUUCCCGGUGUAGUGGUGGAAUGCGUAGAUAUCGGGAGGAACACCAGUGGCGAAGGCGGUUGCCUGGAGCUUUGCUGACGCUGAUGCGC
rnacentral:rRNA from 1 species